rnacentral:lncRNA from 1 species
ACACUAACAAGCUACAGUGCAAAUGAGAGGGAAGGGAUGUCAAAAGAAAAACCUACAGGUACCUGAAAUAGGCAGAGGAAGCCAGAGUAAAUGCAGCUUCAUCUCUCCUCACCAAAUCGACAGGCUGAGCACAAAGGUGUACCGGCAGCAGUACCUGCCUAAUUGCCCCUCAGGGAUUACUGCAUCCUCUCCAUGCACCUUGCUCCUGUAACCUGAGCAAGAUACCCCAUAUGAGAAAUGGCUGCUUUUAAAUACCUGGAGACUUUAGUAAGGAAACAUAUUUUCAGUGAAAAGACCGCUGCCAGAACAGGAAAGAAUUUUGGAGUAAAUGAUAAACAAAGGCGUGGUGGAAUACAGCGUGCUGGUUAUGCAGGCAGAUUUCUUCCAUCUUCACAGCAGAAUGCCAAUGAACCACCUUGUUGACAGACAUUCAUCCUUGGAGGGGGAGGCAAGCACCUUUCUGACCACAGGACCUGCUUUGAAGAGAUCAGCAGCCUGCCGCCAUCACUGGCAGAAAAGAAGCAGACACCCAGGAGGGAUUUUUAGCAGUGUCUUAGGGGAUUGCAGGUCUUGCUGGAAGUCUCUGGAGCUGACACAUUUCAAACCUUUUAGGGGAACCUGGAAGUCCCCCGUUGGAGCCUACCAAAGGCUGAAUGCUGAAAAAUGAAGAGGAAAAGGGGAUUCUUUUCUCUUUCCCAACCAGCACUGCAGAAUGAAUCUUGCCAGUCAGUCCCCUGCAUUAAAUCCAAUGUCUUAACAGAAACUGACAGAAAAUAUUAAGUACCAAAGUUGCUCCUAUGCAGCCAUGGUGUUAUGCAAUUUGGGCUGUACUAUCUAAACAGUCUCAUUUUUACCAUAUCAUUCUUGCAGUAGCAGAGAAGAAGAAGAAGCUGAACCAGAUGAAAUCCUUAACAAAUACGACUUCAUAGCAACCAAAAGAAGAAAUUAACUCAGUCUUGACCCAAGCUUCACUGAAAUUCAUGGGAAAGUGCUGAUCAUGUUGUUAGAAGUAUGAUUAAUUCUAUGCACAAUGGAUACAGGCAUUUAUGCCAGCAGCAUAAAUUUAGGAAGACCUGUGCUGACUUGGUCUCUGAAUGAAAAGAGAGCAUUCCCAGUGUUUUUAUGCACGGCACUUCCCCCCUGCUGCCUGCUCCCAUGUUAUUCAAAAAACAUAACCCUUACCUGAAGUACUUGUAAAACUCUACCUGUACAGCAGUUAACUCUUUGUUAGCAUUUAAUUAAUUGGCUAGAGCCUCACUGGCCCAGAAUCAUCACACCUCGCUGCUGGCAUGUCAGCAAAUCUGUGUCUCCUUCCCAUGGGGAGGGAGAAGGAGAGCAGAGUCUUCAGAGCAUGGCUGAUCCUCUAAAAGCUCUGUGUUCUGCUCUCCACUGACUACCAGAGCUUUAGCUGUUUCUCUGCCAUCUAAAACUAGUUAAGUGUGUCAUUGUGAUAAUGUCAGGUCAACAAAGAAAGACAAAUCAGAAUGGGAUGCUGCAAAUGAGAAAGUUGUUCUUGAAACUACUGAAUCAACAGGGAGAAACAUCACAACCAGAAUACUCAGCACGCUAAGUUUCUUACUGAAAAACUAAAAAGUAGAUAGUGAUGCAAAUACUUGGCAGUGCCAAAACAGGAAGAAAAAAAAUCAAAGGAAAAAUACACUAUCCAA